CACCUGUGUCAUAGUAGGUACCCGCUCCACGAAACAAAUAAAAGAGAAAUCUUAUUGUUUCCUCGCGCGCGUGAAAUCUUCUUCGAAUGGAACACGAUUGUGUGCGCUCUACAGUAGCUCCUCAAAUGAUAGAAACAUAGGUUGCGCGAGAUAUCAAGGGACAAGAUUAGAAGUCAACCAGCCGAUUGUGACGUAACGCGAACUGGUUUUGGCUUUUUCGCUUUUUGCAGGAAAAUAUUCGAAGACCCAAGAUAAAAUCAUGAAGAACGCCGCUGUUUUUAUUCUAUUUUCUAUAUUUGUCUUGAGUGGCGUGCUCGCGAAUGGGACAGAAAUUCAUCGACCACAAUCGUCGAUUAACAGUGCGGAAAAGGAGGAGAUUAAAUGCACUUAUAAUGGAAAGAAGUAUUCUCCCGGUGAAAUCUUCGACCACGGGCUUUGCACGUGCAAAGAAGGAGGAGCAGUGAUGUGUGCUUGAAAUAUUGAAAAUAUCCUGGAAAUAUCUAGUAUGCUUAGCAGCCUAGGAAAUAUCCUACAAAUAUAAAUCUUAUUCCUACGA